UUCAGAUCAAGAGUUAAGAAUGCCAGCUAGAUAGGGCUGCCCGAGGAUCUGCCGUGGGGAUGCAGGAGAGCCAGCACAGGGCUGGUCAGGCUGAAGCUCACUAACAGCUCUGCACUGGGUGCUGAACAGCACAAGAACCCUGCCGUCAAUGAAAGUGAAACCUCUCUGGGAAGCCAGGAACCAGCUGAAAUGGAGGAAAUCAGGACACAGAUACAAAUAAAAGGAAAAUUAUGUGAAGCCACAGGGAGAAGACAGCCACAUCUACAAGCCAAGGGGAGAGGCCUCAAAAUAAACCAAUCCUGCUGAUACCUACAUCUUAGACUUCUA